UGGUGAGAAGGGGGUGGUGGCUUAAGAAUUCAACAACUUUAGGUCGGCUGAAUCCAUAGGUAGAUCAGAUAUUCAUAUAACACAGUACUCUCAGGUAUCCCAAGAGCAGAGUCAGGACUGCGCUCGGUGGCUCAUGCCUGUAAUCCCAGAAAUUUGGGAGGCCAAGGCGGGCAGAUCACAAGUUCAGGAGAUCGAGACCAUCCCGGCUAACACAGCGAAAC
rnacentral:lncRNA from 10 species